GACGAACGCUGGCGGCGUGCCUAACACAUGCAAGUCGAACGGAGUGAAACGCUGAUUUGACGGUAGCUUGCUACUUGAUUUUCUUGUUUCACUUAGUGGCGGACGGGUGAGUAACGCGUGAGCAACCUGCCUCUAAGUGGGGAAUAACAUUUGGAAACGAAUGGUAAUACCGCAUAAUAUAUCGGAGUCGCAUGACUCUGAUAUCAAAGAUUUAUCGCUUAGAGAUGGGCUCGCGUCCGAUUAGCUAGUUGGUGAGGUAACGGCUCACCAAGGCGACGAUCGGUAGCCGGACUGAGAGGUUGAACGGCCACAUUGGGACUGAGACACGGCCCAG
rnacentral:rRNA from 1 species